GGAAAUUCUGAGAGAAGUAGUCUCUGACCAAGGCAGAAGACAAAUCUUCCAGUGAGGAUCUCAUAUUCUUCAGGAUGACACAUCCAAGAAGGCUCAAAAAUUUGACCAACCAAUUUGUCAGGCUCAAACCUCUGAGAGAGGAAGAGAAGUGAUGUGAUGAUGGAGACAAAAAGGAAACUGGGCAGAAACACUAUGAAAGAAGAGAGAACAAGACUAAAACUAAGGUUUGAAGACAUUUUUUUAAGGGUUUCAGUGAAUGCUGUUAAAAUUAGGAGGAUCUCAUUUCUCCACUCCCCAAAAAAGAACAACCAUCCAAGCAGACCAGCUGAUCACCAUUGUUCUGGUAGGACAUCAGACAGAAGCAGAGAACAACUAACUGGGCAGCUUUCUCCACUCCACCCCUCUACAGGAUCUUAGAGUGGAACAAUCAUGUUCAGCCAUUCACCUCUUCUUCCUUUUUAAAUGAAAUAUAGCACCCUUGAAAAUCAGGCAGUCACCUAUUUCUCUGCUGCACACUUACAAAAGCCAGGAAAAUUGGAAAAAUUCCCAUACACCCAGUUCACUCAUGUUUCUAGUUGAUUCUACAAUGAAUUAUUUCUACAUAGGACUGAAGACGGCACUGCCACUGUAACAGAGAGUGUCAGUGUUCGCAAAUCAUUUGACUAAUAAGGGAAUUCCUGACUAGAAUUCGUUCCGAAAUGUGGAAAAGCGUAGAUUCUCCUGUCAAUUCUCCAAGAUGAUCUACAUUGCUCUACCAGCAAACAUUCUUGGGUUUUAUUCUAAGUCAUCCAAAUGGCCUGAAACAGUAUCUCUCAAGCACUUUUAGACAAUUCACAGAAUCUGAAUUUACAUCAAGAACCAUAAAAACCAGCUUCUGGUAAAUCUGGCCAAGAGAAGGAGUUUAAGGGGAGGAGUGCCCGCUACCAUUCCCACGCCAAAAAUCCAUUCUUGGGUCUUCAGGCUGACCACAUAAGCAAAUAUUUCUGGUCUCUUCUUUAUUAUGAAUUUCUAGGUUGGAUACCUUCCUUGACUGUGACCUCCCACAGAAUCCAGCCAGCUCUGGAUUCAGCCAACUCCAGGAAAAAGAAGCAACCCAAGACAAAGGGGAUAAGGAAAAAGAAAAAAGUUCACUGAAAAUGGCAGAGCCACAUGCUGCAGCUGCUGGAACCAGUUGUGUGUACUCACCAGGGAGGAUAGAUAUGGAUGAUAUCCU